CACACCGCCCGUCGCUACUACCGAUUGAACGUUUUAGUGAGAAAUCUGGAUUCGACCUCCUUGGGUUCAUUCCCACGGUGCUGUCGGAGAAGUUUUUCAAACUUGAGCGUUUAGAGGAAGUAAAAGUCGUAACAAGGUAGCUGUAGGUGAACCUGCAGCUGGAUCAUUAUUGA
rnacentral:rRNA from 1 species